rnacentral:rRNA from 1 species
AUGAGUGAGCACAAUUGUACUGUCUUCAAUUGGAACGUACGGGGCCUCAACAACCCCGCUCGGUGUCUGAUUGUUCGAGAUUUUGUCCACCAAAAUCGUGCUUCCAUAGUCUGAAUCCAAGAAACAAAACUUGUUGUAGUUGAUCGCGCUGCUAUUCUUGAGAUCCUGGGGCCCCUCUUUGCUGACUCAUUCUGUUUCCUUCCUGCUGUUGGAACCAGGGGUGGCAUCAUACUUGCUUUCAACUCAAACCUCUUCUCCAUCCAGAGCACCUCCAACACCCUAAACACUAUAUCUGCAUCAAUAUCCAUGCGUGCUUCUGUGGCCUGUUGGUGCAUCACGACGGUGUACGGUCCGCAGGGAGACAAUGAGAAAUUCUCCUUCAUCGACGAGCUGAAAACUAUCCGUCAAAACAGCGGGCCUGCGUGGUUGCUUCUUGGUGACCUCAACCUACUGUGCAAGGCUGAUGACAAGAGCAAUGCAUUGGUCAGUAGACGCCUGAUCAAUGCCUUUCGUGUUGCUCUUAACCAAAUGGAGGUCUCUGAAUUGCGGCUCCACGGGCGGCGAUUCACAUGGACGAGCACAUGUUAG